rnacentral:rRNA from 1 species
ACGCUGGCGGCGUGCUUAACACAUGCAAGUCGAACGGAAAGGCCCUGCUUUUGUGGGGUGCUCGAGUGGCGAACGGGUGAGUAACACGUGAGUAACCUGCCCUUGACUUUGGGAUAACUUCAGGAAACUGGGGCUAAUACCGGAUAGGAGCUCCUGCUGCAUGGUGGGGGUUGGAAAGUUUCGGCGGUUGGGGAUGGACUCGCGGCUUAUCAGCUUGUUGGUGGGGUAGUGGCUUACCAAGGCUUUGACGGGUAGCCGGCCUGAGAGGGUGACCGGCCACAUUGGGACUGAGAUACGGCCCAGACUCCUACGGGAGGCAGCAGUGGGGAAUAUUGCACAAUGGGCGGAAGCCUGAUGCAGCAACGCCGCGUGCGGGAUGACGGCCUUCGGGUUGUAAACCGCUUUCGCCUGUGACGAAGCGUGAGUGACGGUAAUGGGUAAAGAAGCACCGGCUAACUACGUGCCAGCAGCCGCGGUGAUACGUAGGGUGCGAGCGUUGUCCGGAUUUAUUGGGCGUAAAGGGCUCGUAGGUGGUUGAUCGCGUCGGAAGUGUAAUCUUGGGGCUUAACCCUGAGCGUGCUUUCGAUACGGGUUGACUUGAGGAAGGUAGGGGAGAAUGGAAUUCCUGGUGGAGCGGUGGAAUGCGCAGAUAUCAGGAGGAACACCAGUGGCGAAGGCGGUUCUCUGGGCCUUUCCUGACGCUGAGGAGCGAAAGCGUGGGGAGCGAACAGGCUUAGAUACCCUGGUAGUCCACGCUGUAAACGGUGGGUACUAGGUGUGGGGUCCAUUCCACGGGUUCCGCGCCGUAACUAACGCUUUAAGUACCCCGCCUGGGGAGUACGGCCGCAAGGCUAAAACUCAAAGGAAUUGACGGGGCCCCGCACAAGCGGCGGAGCAUGCGGAUUAAUUC